UGGUUUGUGUUUUGAAGAACAUCCACCAUCCAUUUGCACCACUCCUGCACUCCCAAUCAAAUAUGCAUAACUAGUAGCCCAGAGAGACAUUUUCCCACAGAGGAGGGAUGAGCUGCAGAGAAAUGACAGAUUUUUUAAAAAGUGGGCUGGAUGUGGGAACAGGAAGGGGUGUUAAUGUGCUUUUUUUUUUUGAAGUAAUGAUGAAGCAGUGAGAGGAUGGAGAGCGGAUUGGACAAGAUUUAGCCAGGUCAGGACUAACGCCAUAAUGAGAGCUGUUAUAAAACAACAUCUGAGGCAGUGAAUGAAUCAAACAUGGGCUGACUUCUUCUUCUUUUUUUUAAAAUAACAAAUCACUUUCCCCCACCGGAGGCAUCACUAGUGGACUUCAUUAACCUUCCCUUCCAAUCAAUAUUCAUCACUCCACCCUCCAGGCGAGCGGAGGUCCAAGCAUCCACAUCAAACAAACCCCCCGGUCCGGGCCUUACCAUUCCGUGCCAGCUGAUGACGAUCCCAGUCCGGUGCCAGUCCGUUUCAAAACAUCCCGACGGGGAACGCUGCGGUGACCAUCGCUGAGGGCUUCAUGGAGACGAUCCUAAAGAUGGGUGGAGGUGUUGUUGUUAUUGGUGGUGGUGAUGGUGGACAAGGAGACCAAAAAUUUAUUUAUAAAAAAAAGAGGCGAUGAGGAAAAAGAAAAAAAAAAGCAGAGGUGGACGGAACCGAGGUUUGCUGAUGCUGAAUCACUCUCCCCCAGCUCACCACCUUGCAACCAUUGUGCUGCAAGAUGCUGGCUGUACCAUUGUGGAGCUACCGGAGCAGAGAGAGAGAGAGGGAGAGGGAGGGAGGAGAGGAGAGGGAGGAGAGAGGACGGGGGGGGGAAUAUGUUGCCAUGGUAACCGAACAGGAGCACGUCUGACGUCAAAGCCUGAGCAGCGAGAGAGAGAAAGAGGGAGGAGGAGGAGGAGGAGGAGGAGGAGGAGGAGGAGGAGGGAUGAGAGAAGAGAUCACAUGGAGGGUGAGAAGGGGAGGAGCCUCCAGCAGCAUCCCAACGCUGCGAUCACGAGGCUCCAGUGAGAAUACAGAGCUGGUGUUACUGGUGAGGCUUUACCCCCACCCCCACCUGCCAGCAGCAUCUCCCAUCAACCAUCAGCCUGCAGCAUCAGAGACACACUGUGGAUUAUUGUUCUGAGAAAACAACAUCCAAGUGUUUGCCUUGUUAAAGGUUUGUAUUUCUUCGCAAGCUGGUUCAAGAUGAAGAGGAGUCAAAUAAAGAACCACUGUCUUGUGUCAAAUGUGCAGCAAGUUUUUGGGGAAAUCUGAUGGUGACGAAGAGCCAGAGGUUCCUGUUUUGCUUCAAGCUCUUAAUGAAUCACUCUUCAUUGAAAUAAAUGACUUGGAAAAACUGGUAGAACACUAAGUCCAGUGCAAUCAGCUCACAUACAAUGCCUCUAAGUUAAUUUAAAAGUGUGAAAAUACACCAGCAGCUUCAACAAGACACUUUACAUCCAAAUCAGAUUAUUACACUCCUAGGUUAGACUGAUUCAGACCUUUAAGAUGAGCUUUCAAUUCUGGGAAAAGUGGGGAUUUACCACCAGAGCUACAAACAUUAGUCUAGCUUACAGUACAUUUAUUUCUGAAGGCUCGCUCAUUAUUUACUGCCAGAACAUGGCAAGCUUUUAUUUUAACUCGACACAGACUGAAGACCUAAUUUCAAAGUUGGUGCAAAAGAGCUCCGGGAAACUGUUUAAUGCUCUCCAGCUGCACCCAAAGGAUAAAGCUCCCCGUCAAAAAGCCCAUAUGCCUUCCACCAACAGCGCCAGGUGCCCCACAUAUCAAAGACUGUCAUGACAGGCAUAGCCAGACUUUCAAGGUUUUAGUGCAAUUUGCCCUCAGGGCUCAGACCAGCACCGAAGAGGAGGUAUUAAGGACAGCACAGGCAGAAAUAGAAGGAAGAAGAAAUCUGCAAUUCAGAACCCCUUAGUUACACUUUAUGAGACACAGUACAUCCAGACUGUGUCUCCGGCUGGGGGCCCCGCUGCCUGAGGUAAUGUACAGAGAUUAAAGGCUGGUGAGACAAAGGAGACGCAGCACACAACACAUCCCCUGACAGCACUUUAUCAGUCUUAUAUGUUAAAGCUUAUGCCAGAAAUAGCAAAAACCAAAGCCACCUUUAACAUUGGACACUUUUAUAAACACAAUACACCAGUUCCACAUUCACUUUGCCCUUCUCUGUGUAGACUCGGGACAGCUCAGGACCUGCAACCCCUAAAUGACUCAACCUACCCUCCUCCGCAUUUCCUUGGAAAUGCCAUAAAACUGGAAAUGAGGAGGCAGCUUUAAAAAAAAUAAAAAUAUCUUUCUAAGUCACCCUGUUGCUCUCUGCAAUUCACAGUCUGUAAUAAGGCAGGUUGUCUCAAAUGGGAACAUUCAUUCAACAUUUUGUCGGAGGCCUCAGUGCUUGUAAGAGAUUUGAUAUACUAAGUGAAACAGUAUUUGCACAAGCGUUAGUGAAUAUUUCACUCACAGAUCCAUGUUAUUCUUAGGAUCCUGCUUUACAAGAUAGCAAACACUGAUUUAAAAUUAGAUAUAGAUACUAGAGAGAUAUACUUUUUUUAUUUUCAUGGAAAAAUUUAGGCUGGAUUCUGUGAAGCUGGACCUGUAAACACAUAUGGGUACACAACAUCUGCAGACUGGAUUAUUGAGCACACCUAUUAAAAGUACACAUAUAAAAAACAUUAGUAAUAGUGCAAAUAGUUAAAAAUGCUAAAUAAAUAAAUUUUCAGUG